CUUCCACCCGGUGGUAGCUGACGCCAGGGUCCACUUCCACCCUCACUCACGUCAAACGCUUUGAGGGCAAUAUGUUUUCCUUCGCCAAGGAUGCGGUUGAGCUGAGUGGCCAGGUCUUUGUCCAUUGUGAUGUGGUCAUCUGUGAUGCCAGUAGUCCCUCUGGCAGCCCCUGUAGUGGACAAUGUGUGAAUCAGGACAACCCGAAAAGAGGUCAACGACAUGUCAAAGACCUCUUUGAAGAGCGUCAUUUAUGUGUUUCUUCUGGAUACAUUCUUUGGGUGUAAUGUCUUGUUCUAACAUGUCAAAUAAAGUGUUCUGUAUAAAACUA